UACGUAGGGUGCGAGCGUUAAUCGGAAUUACUGGGCGUAAAGCGUGCGCAGGCGGUUCGUUAAGUCAGAUGUGAAAGCCCCGGGCUCAACCUGGGAAUAGCGUUUGAUACUCUAUGGCUUGAGUUCGGGAGAGGUGAGUGGAAUUCCCAGUGUAGAGGUGAAAUUCGUAGAUAUUGGGAAGAACACCGGUGGCGAAGGCGGCUCACUGGACCGAUACUGACGCUGAGGCGCGAAAGCGUGGGGAGCAAACAGG
rnacentral:rRNA from 1 species